rnacentral:lncRNA from 1 species
ACACUUCUGCUAAGAAGAGAGUUAUGGCAAGUACAAGUUGCUGAGAAAGAAGCAAACUGCUCAUUUGGAUGAAGGAAAUUAAUUCUUUGAAGCCAUCAAAGAUUCCUGCAGCUUUGAGAAUAGUUUGGUAAGUGGAUCUCAAUCCCCAGAAAACUCUUUGGUAAAAGAACAAGUGCCCAUCUUUUAGAUCAUGUGCUUAGCUUCAGGGCAGAUAUGUCCUGAAGGUCUUGUGUAAACAAAACACAAGUGAAAUAAUAUUCAAUUCAAAAUGAGACAAUAGUUACAGUGAAAUAGAGAAAUACAAAGUUGGUUUUUUUACUUAUUAUUAUUUACUGACAUCAAGUUGGUUUCAUUAAUAUUUACUUAAUAUCUAUCAGAAACAAAUAUUAUUUUAAGUAAACAGUUUCUCUUAAGUUUUAGGCAAAUUGCUCUAUGAUUUCACUAACUGAAUACCAUCCAUCUUUAAGAUGCUAAAACUAUGUUACUUCUAUCCAUACAACUUUCAGUAUUAAAUAUCCUUUAUUGAAAAUAAUAAGCAAAAAUCUUUAAUACAUGCACAAACACUGACUUGUUACAGUUUCUUUUACUCAGUUUAUCCAUUUCUUCUGGGCAGAUUCUUUUGGUUUCUUGACAAUACUGUGCACUGGUGAAUCUAACUCUGCUGGAAGUGCUUAAGUGGUUUCAAAUAUGUUGGGACCAGACACAUAACUUAAUUGCCAUCCUAAUUUCCAAGGAUCUUGCUUUCAAGGAUACCUGGGAUUUUUGCUCACUUCUGUGGAAUGUGCCCUCACAAUGACCUGUGAUAAAUAGUGCACGAUUUUUAAAAAAUGAUCUAAAAUGUGGGGUGUUUUUAUAACUAUUUCUCAUUUCUUGGCUCAGGAAAUAUUAUUCUUGCCUCCUAUGGUCAUCCUGUUAUUCAUCAGCAGAUGCUACUGAUCCAACAGCUUCCCAGCUAAGAUGGAAGGAUGAAUCCAGCGAUAACCUUGGUUGCUCACACCACAUAACUCAACCGUGGAAGAAAUGGUGCCACCGCUGGCAGGUGAGACGCCUUCCUCUGGUUUGUAGGAUACGAUUGGGCAUGAAUUGUUUUAAUAGACUGAGACUGCCCCGCGGGUAAUUCU